CCAACUCUAAUUACGUCAAAUAUUUCUUGUUUUUUGUUUCUUCUUUUCUAUAAAAGAUCUAUGAGGGCAAAACAAAUCAUAAGUGUUCUAGUUAUGGAGCAUCAUUUAUGGACCCCAGCUGCACUAAGGUUGCCCUCCACAAUUCCAUCCACAAUUCCACACUUAGUAUUUAAUUGUUGUCAUGUCAUUAGGAAACAGUAUAUCAUCAAAAAUUAACAUGCACCACGAUAUAUAUUCCUUAUCGAUAAUAAAUUUAUCUUUGAGUACCGCUAAGAGACCCUAGCUUGGAAUAAUCCUCCCA
rnacentral:lncRNA from 1 species